rnacentral:rRNA from 1 species
AAGGUUGGCUAAUCCUGGUCGGACAUCAGGAGGUUAGUGCAAUGGCAUAAGCCAGCUUGACUGCGAGCGUGACGGCGCGAGCAGGUGCGAAAGCAGGUCAUAGUGAUCCGGUGGUUCUGAAUGGAAGGGCCAUCGCUCAACGGAUAAAAGGUACUCCGGGGAUAACAGGCUGAUACCGCCCAAGAGUUCAUAUCGACGGCGGUGUUUGGCACCUCGAUGUCGGCUCAUCACAUCCUGGGGCUGAAGUAGGUCCCAAGGGUAUGGCUGUUCGCCAUUUAAAGUGGUACGCGAGCUGGGUUUAGAACGUCGUGAGACAGUUCGGUCCCUAUCUGUCGUGGGCGCUGGAGAACUGAGGGGGGCUGCUCCUAGUACGAGAGGACCGGAGUGGACGCAUCACUGGUGUUCGGGUUGUCAUGCCAAUGGCACUGCCCGGUAGCUAAAUGCGGAAGAGAUAAGUGCUGAAAGCAUCUAAGCACGAAACUUGCCCCGAGAUGAGUUCUCCCUGAGACUUAGAGUCUCCUGAAGGAACGUUGAAGACGACGACGUUGAUAGGCCGGGUGUGUAAGCGCAGCGAUGCGUUGAGCUAACCGGUACUAAUGAACCGUGAGGCUUAACCUU